GACGAACGCUGGCGGCGUGCUUAACACAUGCAAGUCGAACGGAAAGGCCCUGCUUGCAGGGUACUCGAGUGGCGAACGGGUGAGUAACACGUGGGUGAUCUGCCCUGCACUUCGGGAUAAGCCUGGGAAACUGGGUCUAAUACCGGAUAGGAGCCAUUUUUAGUGUGAUGGUUGGAAAGUUUUUUUCGGUGUAGGAUGAGCUCGCGGCCUAUCAGCUUGUUGGUGGGGUAAUGGCCUACCAAGGCGGCGACGGGUAGCCGGCCUGAGAGGGUGGACGGCCACAUUGGGACUGAGAUACGGCCCAGACUCCUACGGGAGGCAGCAGUGGGGAAUAUUGCACAAUGGGCGCAAGCCUGAUGCAGCGACGCCGCGUGGGGGAUGACGGCCUUCGGGUUGUAAACUCCUUUCGCUAGGGAUGAAGCUUUUUGUGACGGUACCUAGAUAAGAAGCACCGGCUAACUACGUG
rnacentral:rRNA from 1 species